rnacentral:rRNA from 1 species
CGUAACAAGGUCUCCGUAGGUGAACCUGCGGAGGGAUCAUUACACAAAUAUGAAGGCGGGCUGGAACCUCUCGGGGUUACAGCCUUGCUGAAUUAUUCACCCUUGUCUUUUGCGUACUUCUUGUUUCCUUGGUGGGUUCGCCCACCACUAGGACAAACAUAAACCUUUUGUAAUUGCAAUCAGCGUCAGUAACAAAUUAAUAAUUACAACUUUCAACAACGGAUCUCUUGGUUCUGGCAUCGAUGAAGAACGCAGCGAAAUGCGAUAAGUAGUGUGAAUUGCAGAAUUCAGUGAAUCAUCGAAUCUUUGAACGCACAUUGCGCCCUUUGGUAUUCCAAAGGGCAUGCCUGUUCGAGCGUCAUUUGUACCCUCAAGCUUUGCUAGGUGUUGGGCGUCUUGUCUCUAGCUUUGCUGGAGACUCGCCUUAAAGUAAUUGGCAGCCGGCCUACUGGUUUCGGAGCGCAGCACAAGUCGCACUCUCUAUCAGCAAAGGUCUAGCAUCCAUUAAGCCUUUUUUUCAACUUUUGACCUCGGAUCAGGUAGGGAUACCCGCUGAACUUAAGCAUAUCA